rnacentral:rRNA from 1 species
GACGAACGCUUUCUUCUUUCUUAACACAUGCAAGUCGAACGGUGAAGCUCCAGCUUGCUGGAGUGGAUCAGUGGCGAACGGGUGAGUAACACGUGAGCAACCUGCCCCUGACUCUGGAAUAAGCGCUGGAAACGGCGUCUAAUACUGGAUACGAGAAGGGUCCGCAUGGGCACUUUCUGGAAAGUUUUUCGGUUGGGGAUGGGCUCGCGGCCUAUCAGCUUGUUGGUGAGGUAAUGGCUCACCAAGGCGACGACAGGUAGCCGGCCUGAGAGGGCGACCGGCCACACUGGGACUGAGACACGGCCCAGACUCCUACGGGAGGCAGCAGUGGGGAAUAUUGCACAAUGGGCGGAAGCCUGAUGCAGCGACGCCGCGUGAGGGAUGAAGGAAUUCGGGUUGUAAACCUCUUUCAGCAGGGAAGAAGCGAAAGUGACGGUACCUGCAGAAGAAGCACCGGCUAAAUACGGG